rnacentral:rRNA from 1 species
CAAGUCGAACGAUUAAACUUCCCUUCGGGGAAGAUAUAAAGUGGCGCACGGGUGAGUAACACGUAAGUAAUCUGCCCUCGAGUGGGGAACAACGUCCGGAAACGGACGCUAAUACCGCAUAAUGCAGCGGCACCGCAAGGUGACAGUUGUUAAAGGAGAAAUCCGCUUGAGGAGGAGCUUGCGGCAGAUUAGCUAGUUGGUAAGGUAAUGGCUUACCAAGGCUACGAUCUGUAACCGGUCUAAGAGGACGGUCGGUCACACUGACACUGAAUAACGGGUCAGACUCCUACGGGAGGCAGCAGUCGGGAAUUUUGGGCAAUGGGCGAAAGCCUGACCCAGCAACGCCGCGUGAAGGAUGAAGUAUUUCGGUAUGUAAACUUCGAAAGAAUGGGAAGAAUCAAUGACGGUACCAUUUAUAAGGUCCGGCUAACUACGUGCCAGCAGCCGCGGUAAUACGUAGGGACCAAGCGUUGUUCGGAUUUACUGGGCGUAAAGGGCGCGUAGGCGGCAAUUCAAGUCAUCUGUGAAAUCUCCGGGCUUAACCCGGAACGGUCAGAUGAUACUGCUUUGCUAGAGUGCGGAAGGGGCAAUCGGAAUUCUCGGUGUAGCGGUGAAAUGCGUAGAUAUCGAGAGGAACACCUGAGGUGAAGACGGGUUGCUGGGCCGACACUGACGCUGAGUGCGCGAAAGCCAGGGGAGCAAACGGGAUUAGAUACCCCGGUAGUCCUGGCCCUAAACGAUGAAUACUUGGUGUCUGGAGUUAUUAGUGCUCCGGGUGCCGUCGCUAACGUUUUUAGUAUUCC